UACGAAGGUCCCAAGCGUUAUCCGGAUUUAUUGGGUUUAAAGGGUGCGUAGGCGGGUUAUUAAGUCAGUGGUGAAAGCUCCAUGCCUAACAUGGAAAUUGCCAUUGAUACUGAUGAUCUUGAGUACAUUUGAAGUGGGCGGAAUGUGUCAUGUAGUGGUGAAAUACUUAGAUAUGACACAGAACACCGAUUGCGUAGGCAGCUGGCUACACAUAUAUUGACACUGAGGCACGAAAGCGUGGGGAUCAAACAGG
rnacentral:rRNA from 1 species